GGAAAUGUGGCUUAGUGGUAGAGUGCUUGCCUAGCAUGCAUGAAGCCCUGGGUUCGAUUCCUGAGUACCCC
rnacentral:tRNA from 1 species